UGAGCAAUAGAAUCCUGUGAGUCAUGGAGGUACCAAAUUGAAGGUCUUCCAAACCCUGUUACCAUGGACAACAAGGAUGCAUUUGUUAAAAAUGCUAUAAUUUUCCAUGUUCUACUACAACGAAAGAGCUGCUACGAUCAGUUAGCUGAGGGGUUGGAAUGUUAUGAGCUCCUACCACUUCUGAAAGAGAACCUUCCCCUUCGGGUUCUUUUAGAGAUGCCCAAGGUUCGCAGUGAUCUUACAGCAGAUGUGGUUGCUACCCUUCUGAAGCCCAGCUACUCCGUUCUGGGAAGCAACAAACGACCAAAAGAAGAGCUGAUGGUGGUUAAGUUCAGAGAUUUCCUCAAUAGUGUUCAAGAAAGAGAAGUUGAGGAAUGUCUUCAUGGCAGAACCCUGACAGAAGCAGAGAAGACCUUUCUCAGAAAUUUAAAUCCUGGACAUAUUCUCGCCUUUGUGACUGGAAGUAGCAGAGUUCCAGCAGUUGGAUUUCAACCAGGUCCAAAGUUAAGCUUUGUUCAUAAUGAAAACAAGUACCUUCCAGUCGCUCAUACGUGCUCAAAUGAGCUUGAAAUCUUUGUAAAUUCCAAAAAUCUAGCUGACAAUGAUGAGUUUGAAUAUAACUUCCUAGUAGCGCUUAUGAAUGGAGCAAAUUUUAGUGCAGUUUAAAUAAACAUGAAAAUAUAUUCCAGGGAAAAGGGUCCAGGUGAGUAAGAAGGGAAAAUAAAGUGGAGAAGAGAAGAAAUGUAGAAGAAUGGAUACGUUAUUUGUAUUAAUCCAAAACACCUCAGGGAUGUUUUUCUGUUUUUUUUUUACUUCUGUUGUAUUAAUAAAUAUAAAAAAAUUGUCUUUGUAUGGAAUUUUGCUAUGUUUAAAUGUUAUUAAUAAUUUUAGUUAAUUCAUAAAAGCAGGAAAAUGUGCUACUUGUGUCUUUGUUGAGGAUCUGUUUCUGCUGUUUGAUGAGCAAAUUGUAUUUAAUUAAACAAAAACAGGAAAUGUUGAACGGUUUUCUUUUUUCUGUUUCCAUGUAAAGCCACUCAAGACAACAGUUAAAUGUGAAAAGUUACAAAAGAGGAAAAAUGGUAAAAUAUAGAUUUGGAUCUGUUUGUUCGGGAAACAUAUUUAUUUAUUUUCUAUGGGAAGGAAUUGGUAUUGUCUGUAGAAAAGUAUGCAUUUUCUGAACACCAGAGAGAGUACACCCAUUAUUUCAUGUUGAUCCAUUUCAAAUAAUAGGUUAAUUUUUGAAAUGUCAAUAGAUGUUUGUUUAGCAGAGCAACAUGGUUGUGUGUUGAAAGUGUUUGCAUACGUUGUCUCACAUGUAAAGCCUAUUGGAUGUUCAUUCUUUAUGGAAAAGGUUUCAAUUACAAUCUCAAAUGAUGAAACA